CCUUUAUGAUGAUACCCGCACACGUCUUACGCCAUGUGUUAACGCUAGACCCUGAAAAGGUGAACCCACUGGUGUUACCAUGGCAACAAGGGGAUGGCCCGUUGGGGUUACCAACAGUCUGAAUGGC